rfam:Phytophthora megakarya strain zdho120 scaffold_3887, whole genome shotgun sequence.
GACUAGGUUCUCUUCAGAACCACCAAAUUAUUCAUACCAACAUUCG